AAGACUAUAGACCUGCGGAGUACCUGCGGAGGGAUCAUUACUGAGUGAGGGCCCUCUGGGUCCAACCUCCCACCCGUGUUUAUUGUACCUUGUUGCUUCGGUGGGCCCGCCGCAAGGCCGCCGGGGGCUUCCGCCCCGGGCCCGCGCCCACCGGAGACAAACUGAACUCUGUCUGAAUGUUGCAGUCUGAGUAAAAACUUAAUAAGUUAAAACUUUUAACAAUGGAUCUCUAGAUCGGAA
rnacentral:misc_RNA from 1 species